GCCAGUGUUGCUCAGUAGUUAGAGCGUCGGUCCGCACUCCUGAGAGUCACGGGUUCGAUUCCCAGUCAAGGGCA
rnacentral:tRNA from 1 species